ACCACUUCAGCCUGUUAAUUAUUUGGGACGUCUGGGAGGAGGUGGGAUUGGGUCAGGGACCCACUCUCACCCUACUCCCUUCCUCCUUUCCUCAUGGAGACAACAAGGAAGUCAGAGCUCUACCCUGCAUAGAUAUUGAAUCUCAGCAUGGCCCCCAAUACUGGGAGUUUGAGAUGCUCAGAAGUCAUCUAGCUGGAACUGUCCGAUGGAUAGUUGGUGAUACAAGACACCAAGGUGACUGGAUAUCUGGCAAAAUAGUGCACUGGACCUGGAGUAGAAACCACCUGAAGUCAGAUCUUGUCUCAGACACUCACUAGGUCUGUGACCACAAAUGAGGAACUGGGGAAACAGGAUGAAGUUGACUUUCCCAGAGUCACACAAUUAGUAAGUGUCUGAGACAGGAUUUGAACUCAGGAAGAGGAGUCUUUCUGACUCUAAACCUGGAACUCUACCCACUGUGCCACCUUGCUGCAGUGUAGACCUGUGUCAUGGCUUUGGGUCUGCUAGUAGAGACUCACUGGUGGUAGUGGGAGAGGUGUGAGAGGGGUAUUGAGUGAGUUCAGGCUCAGUGAGCAACAGUUCUUGGGUUUGGGUUUGUUUUUAACCUUCUUUUGGCUUCUUGGUGUCCUAGACCAUGGUAAUAGAUGAAGUUGCUUAAUCAUUGAGUCAUAAUUUCUGUUUUGGGGAGGUUUGAGAGCUUGUGGGAAUAGGAGAAAAUGUUUAAUUUGCCCAUGUGACCCAGAACCAACAUGGCUCUGAUUCCUUCUGGCCUUCCUUC